rnacentral:rRNA from 1 species
AUUGAACGCUGGCGGCAGGCCUAACACAUGCAAGUCGAACGGUAACAGGAAGAAGCUUGCUUCUUUGCUGACGAGUGGCGGACGGGUGAGUAAUGUCUGGGAAACUGCCUGAUGGAGGGGGAUAACUACUGGAAACGGUAGCUAAUACCGCAUAACGUCGCAAGACCAAAGAGGGGGACCUUCGGGCCUCUUGCCAUCGGAUGUGCCCAGAUGGGAUUAGCUAGUAGGUGGGGUAACGGCUCACCUAGGCGACGAUCCCUAGCUGGUCUGAGAGGAUGACCAGCCACACUGGAACUGAGACACGGUCCAGACUCCUACGGGAGGCAGCAGUGGGGAAUAUUGCACAAUGGGCGCAAGCCUGAUGCAGCCAUGCCGCGUGUGUGAAGAAGGCCUUCGGGUUGUAAAGUACUUUCAGCGGGGAGGAAGGGAGUAAAGUUAAUACCUUUACUCAUUGACGUUACCCGCAGAAGAAGCACCGGCUAACUCCGUG